UGACCCACCAUGUCACCUCUACAGCAGUGAGAGUAUUCUAGCCACUUUGGGGCCUGGAAAGUGAUAUGGUGGAAGAGAUGUGGUUCCUGAUUACAUGGAUGCCUUCCACAUGAAGAAGAACCCUUGGAAAUGAAGAACCUUGCUCUAUUCCAACUAGAACCUCUCCACUACAUGCUUUCCACACAAGGAGACCAACAAUGUAUAAAGCUGAAAAGCUUACCUGUUUCCUCCACCAGGUGAAUAAUAUUCAUCAUCUCCUGAAGCUAUUUUUGGAAGCAUUUUUAACAGAACUGUUCCAGUUACUCUAAUUAACUGAAAUGAAUAUUUAAAGGUUAUAAUUGCUGGACUCUGGCAUCCUGAGAAAUAAUAAUUACCUGUCUAAUUACAAAACUGAAAUGUGGUGUUACAUACAUACAGCUUGAAAUAAAUUUUUAAAAUGU